rnacentral:rRNA from 1 species
CCAGGCUAGAUAGUUACAGCAAGACGGUAUAAACUCCUUCCAAAGUUAGUGACACCCCUGAGGGGCGUACUGGUGGAACUGAAAUGGUCCCGAGGAAUUCAGCCGUUGGGGCUGGCACAGCUGGCGGUGUCUGAUCUAACGACAGCUCCGUCGGUUGACGCUGAUCUCAUAGGUGCACUUUCCUCGCUCUGGACCGGACCACGACCGGUGAGCUGAUUUGACUGUCGUGCCUGGAAGGUAGCGCCAUCCUCGGAAGGCGUAUUAUAGACAGGUGCACGGUUGAGCGGCGCACUGGAUGAUAAUGCCUGCCCUUUUGGGCUCAUAUGUUGGUUGUUUCGUUGGCGAGUGCUGGCUUCACUACUUCGGUAGAGGAGUUGGCCUCUGUUGGCUUUACGGCUGGCCUCUAUGAUUGGCAUUGGUAAGUCUGUGGUUGUGAAGUAGGUAGUCCACCUGACCCGUCUUGAAACACGGACCAAGGAGUCUAACAUGUGCGCGAGUCAUUGGGUUCACGAAACCUAAAGGCGCAGUGAAGGUAAAGACCUGCUUUCGCAGGUUGAGGUGGGAUGCUGGGUUACGCGCCCGGCCGCACUACCGGCCCGUUCUACAUGUAUCUCAUGGGAGCGGAGCAAGAGCGUACACGUUGGGACCCGAAAGAUGGUGAACUAUGCUUGCGCAGGUCGAAGCCAGAGGAAACUCUGGUGGAGGACCGCAGCGAUUCUGACGUGCAAAUCGAUCGUCAAACGUGAGUAUAGGGGCGAAAGACUAAUCGAACUAUCUAGUAGCUGGUUCCCUCCGAAGUUUCCCUCAGGAUAGCUGGCACUCGGGAAAUUAAACAGUUUUAUCCGGUAAAGCGAAUGAUUAGAGGUAUUGGGACGAAACUGCUCUCAACCUAUUCUCAAACUUUAAAUGGGUAAGAUGCCAGACUCGCUUAAUUGGAGCCUGGCUUUGCUGAAUGUGAGCGCCCAGGGGUCCAUCCAGGCAAGCAGAGAUGCCGACAGCGGGGCGGUGUAAACUCCAUCCAAGGCUAGAUACAGACAGCAUGACGGUA